rnacentral:rRNA from 1 species
GACAGAGGGGGCAAGCGUUGCUCGGAAUUAUUGGGCGUAAAGGGCUCGUAGGCGGUCCAUCGCGUCGGGAGUGAAAAGCUGGGGCUUAACCCCAGUCCUGCUUUCGAUACGGGUGGACUAGAGGUAGGCAGGGGAGAAUGGAAUUCCUGGUGUAGCGGUGAAAUGCGCAGAUAUCAGGAGGAACACCAAUUGCGAAGGCAGCUCGCUGGGACGUUACUGACGCUGAGACGCGAAAGCGUGGGGAGCAAACAGG